rnacentral:rRNA from 1 species
UACGGGGGGGGUAAGCGUUGUUCGGAAUUACUGGGCGUAAAGGGCUCGUAGGCGGCCAACUAAGUCAGACGUGAAAUCCCUCAGCUUAACUGGGGAACUGCGUCUGAUACUGGAUGGCUUGGAUUCGGGAGAGGAAUGCGGAAUUCCAGGUGUAGCGGUGAAAUGCGUAGAUAUCUGGAGGAACACCGGUGGCGAAGGCGGCGAUCUGGCCCAACAUUGACACUGAGACCCGAAAGUGCGGGGAUCAAACAGG